CACUGGAAUGGCGCCAGGUAGCAUCACUGAAGAAGAAGAGUUUCCCUCCAAAAUAUCUGGGUUUAUUUUGGCAAAAGCGAGUUCAAAGUUUGUUUACCAACUGAAUGAGCGAACCAAUUCGAUGACCACCAUUCUAGACAACUUCCAACGCGCCGAGAAGAUCGGCGAGGGCACCUAUGGCAUAGUUUACAAGGCGCGGAGCAACGCCACCGGCCAGGAUGUGGCGCUCAAGAAGAUUCGGCUGGAAGGCGAAACGGAGGGCGUUCCCUCGACGGCCAUUCGAGAGAUCUCCCUGCUGAAGAACCUCAAGCACAAGAAUGUGGUCCAACUAUUCGACGUGGUCAUCUCCGGCAACAAUCUGUACAUGAUUUUCGAGUACCUGAACAUGGAUCUCAAGAAGCUGAUGGACAAAAAGAAGGACGUCUUCACCCCUCAGCUGAUUAAAAGCUAUAUGCAUCAGAUAUUAGAUGCCCUUGGAUUUUGCCACACCAAUCGCAUACUGCAUCGCGAUCUCAAGCCCCAGAACCUUCUCGUGGACACUGCGGGCAAAAUAAAGUUGGCGGACUUUGGCCUGGCAAGGGCCUUCAAUGUGCCCAUGAGAGCCUACACCCACGAAGUGGUAACCCUUUGGUACCGAGCCCCGGAGAUUUUGCUGGGCACCAAGUUUUACUCCACCGGCGUAGACAUUUGGAGUCUGGGCUGCAUUUUCUCAGAGAUGAUCAUGCGCCGCUCUUUAUUUCCCGGAGACAGCGAGAUAGACCAACUCUACAGGAUAUUCCGUACCUUAAGCACACCCGAUGAAACCAAAUGGCCAGGUGUGACGCAGCUGCCGGACUUUAAGGCCAAGUUUCCCAAGUGGGAGGCAACCAACAUGCCACAGCCCAUAACCGAACACGAGGCGCACGAGCUCAUAAUGUCCAUGCUGUGCUAUGAUCCAAACCUGCGUAUCUCGGCCAAGGACGCACUGCAACACGCCUACUUCCGCAACGUGCAGCAUGUUGACCAUGUGGCGCUGCCUGUGGAUCUCAAUGCCGGCAGUGCCUCGCGUCUAACGAGGCUCGUCUAAUCGUGUCCCAUAGCCCCAGAUCUAGCAAAUUACUUGUGAUCUUUAGUAUACUGCCAGCUCAAUUUCAUGCAUUUCCCACCCUCAUUCGCAUCUAACACAUACGAUAAAUACACGAUCAUCCAUAAGUCAA